ensembl:lncRNA
AGUUCUGCUAACCUUGAUUUGAAUCUCUGAUGGGUCACUUGCUACUAUGUAACCUUGGAGAAUUACUGAAACUUGAGUUUCAGUUUUUUCUUACAUUAAAAAUAAAAUAGGCCGGGCGCAGUGGCUCACGCCUGUAAUCCCAGCACUUUGGGAGGCCGAGGCGGGUGGAUCACGAGGUCAACAGAUCGAGACCAUCCUGCAGAACUUGUAGUUGGCACAACCCCCAGCAAAGAUGGCAGAAAAAACACCAUUGAGCAGGAAAGCCAACUGCAACCAGCAACCACCCCUAAGAAUGUAGUACAGUAGAGGAAAGACAGUUGGAGGGAAAAAAUCUGGAAUGCUGGAGAGAUCACUCAACCCCCAGGGGGAAUACAGAAAAAGAAACAGACAAAUGCAGCUGAUAUACAACAUGGGAAGAUAAACAUGAGCUUUCCCAUACACCUCUGGCAACUAUGCAAUUAUUUUAGGCUCCACUGCUACUCGGGUGAGUAAGUCUUGCAGAGUGUUUGCUUUCUACCAAGUAGAACUUUUCAAUAGUGACAUUCCUCAUGUGAUUCCAAUAGCCUAAAACACAAUUUCUUUCCAUUUCCUUUUCCCAAUUUAUUCAGCACUUUGACGGAGAGGUCUUAAACUUUUUCCGGGUGAAAUACCUGCUUUUAUAUCUAUAAUAGAAUAAAAAUAUCAUUGUAUCACAAUUAUUUUGUUUCCUCUUUCCAGCCUUAUAUGAGACUCUUGGGAAUGGGGAUCUUAUUCCCCUUCACAUCUGCACUAUUCCUUUCCCAGGGUUCCAGGCACUUAGUAGCUGCAUUAUAAAUGAACAACCUCUCAGCCUUUAGAUAGAAGUGCCAUUUUUUAAAUGAGAGAAAUGUGUGACUCAGUGCCAUUCAUUAUUAUUACCUGACAUAAGACUACACAUGUUUCCUUUUCAUUAGGAACUUCAUCUGUGUUAAUGGAAGCUUGCACAUUGCCUUCUUGAGAAUUCACAAGUAGCUGUUCUCUCCUUAUGUUACUACAAAGUCAGAAUAAUAAAAGCAUCUUACAUCAUAGACCUGGCAUUGGAUUAGCUCAGUGAGUGCGUUUUCCAUAUAAAGAUCAAUGAAGAAAAGUCAAGAGUGAUUACUAAUUAAAUGAAGAGAAAAUGUUCUGAUUCAAAGCCAAUUGAUCAUUUUCCUUGGAAAGAUGUUUUAGCAUCUCCCUUCUGCAAAGUGCCCUGAUUUUCAUGGACCUAAGGAUGCUGACUUUUUAGAAAGAUUUCAGGUACUCUCACCUAAGAGGUGAAUUUGGAAAGGGGCAUUUCCAGAAUUGAAGUAAUACAGUGGUUGGUUUUUGUAUCAGACCUGCAACUCUUAACAAAUAAAUGGGAAAUCUAGAGAUAAAUUUCUAGAAAAAAAAUCUGCUUGGGCUGUACUAAAAUAAUCUGGGUGAUUUUUAAUUGAAGCUACCAGAUACAUUACGUUUUUCAGCCAAGUCACUAACAGCAGUCAACAAUGCCAAAUGCUGACUUGUAAAAAUGAUGCUCAUUUGUGAAAUUAUACCCAUUAAAUAACACCCUAGUUUUCAUUUUUAAUAAAUGAACAAUUACACUGCAGACUGACCAAAAUUAUAUCUUGUCACAAUUCAC